GAGGGGAUAGCUCAGUAGUAGAGUGUGUGCUCAGCAGGCAUGAGGUCCUGGGUUCACUCCCCAGUGCCUCCA
rnacentral:tRNA from 1 species